UCGAGAGGCUUCGGCAAUGGGGGAAACCCUGACCGAGCGACGCCGCGUGGGUGAUGAAGAUUCUCGGAUCGUAAAGCUCUGUCGGAGGGAACGAAUGCUCCUGAAGUUAACAGCCUCAGGAGGUGACGGUACCCUCAAAGGAAGCACCGGCUAACUCUGUGCCAGCAGCCGCGGUAAUACAGAGGGUGCAAGCGUUGCUCGGAUUUACUGGGCGUAAAGCGUGCGCAGACGGUUUGGUAAGUGGGACGUGAAAGCCUGGGGCUCAACCCCAGAAUUGCGUUCCAGACUGCCCGACUCGAGUAUGAGAGAGGAAAGUGGAAUUCCUGGUGUAGAGGUGAAAUUCGUAGAUAUCAGGAGGAACACCAGCGGCGAAGGCGGCUUUCUGGCUCAUUACUGACGUUCAGGCACGAAAGCGUGGGGAGCAAACAGGAUUAGAUACCCGCGUAGUGCCUGAGCGGGCUGGCAAGGCGCAU
rnacentral:rRNA from 1 species